GUGGUGCGGGCCCGCUGCGCCCCCGCCCGCGGCUGCGGGGAGGCCCCCGCGCUCCGGGACCGCGCCCGCGCCUGCAACCGGACUCUGGACGCUCUGGCCGCCGACCUGGAGAGGACGGACUCCGAGAACCGCGAGCGGCAGGAGCAGAUCCGGGGCCUCCGGGAGGAGAACGCGAGGCUGAGGCGGAGGCUGCAGGACGCUGAGGCCGAACUGGAGCGGCUUAGGACCCCGACGACGACGGCAAAGGCCGAGGCCUCUACCCUGGGACCCGAGCGCAGCGCGGAGCGCAGCGCGGCCCGCGGCCCGGCCGCCCCUGGCUUCCUGGUGACCGCAGGCCUUCUGCUCCUGAGCCUGGGCGCUCCGCGGUCCUGAGACCGCAGCAAGCAGCGGGUCACACCCUGCCCGCUGUGAUCCGGUUCCAUCAGCUUUUGCCUUCUGGGGUUCUCGGGGCGGCGGGAGGGGGGAUUCUGCGGAGCAGGAAUGCAGCUUGGGGGCGGGG